CCAUCUACAGGUCACCUGUUCAAGCCAGGUUCGUGGCAGCCGCGGUAGCUCAGUUGGGAGAGCGUUAGACUGAAGCU
rnacentral:tRNA from 1 species